UGCCAGCCGCCGCGGUAAUACGGAGGGUGCAAGCGUUAAUCGGAAUUACUGGGCGUAAAGCGCGCGUAGGCGGCUAAAUCAGUCGGGUGUGAAAGCCCUGGGCUCAACCUGGGAACUGCAUUCGAUACUGUUUAGCUGGAGUAUGGGAGAGGGUAGUGGAAUUCCACGUGUAGCGGUGAAAUGCGUAGAUAUGUGGAGGAACACCCGUGGCGAAGGCGAUUGCCUGGCCCAAUACUGACGCUGAGGUGCGAAAGCGUGGGUAGCGAACAGGAUUAGAUA
rnacentral:rRNA from 1 species